rnacentral:rRNA from 1 species
UACGUAGGAUCCAAGCGUUGUCCGGAUUUACUGGGCGUAAAGCGUGCGCAGGCGGUUCGUUGUGUCGGCGGUGAAAGCCCCGGGCUCAACCUGGGAAUGGCCGUUGAAACUGGCGAACUGGAGUGUGGCAGAGGGGGGUGGAAUUCCGCGUGUAGCAGUGAAAUGCGUAGAGAUGCGGAGGAACACCGAUGGCGAAGGCAGCCCCCUGGGCUAACACUGACGCUCAGGCACGAAAGCGUGGGGAGCAAACAGG